CCGGUUGAUCCUGCCGGCGGUCACUGCUAUCGAGUUCCGACUAAGCCAUGCGAGUCACAGGCCGUAAGGUACUGGCAGACGGCUCAGUAACACGCGGAUAAUCUAACCUCAGGUGGGGUAUAACCUUGGGAAACUGAGGCUAAUCCCCCAUAGGUCCUGUAAACUGGAAUGUUUUAGGACUUAAAGCUAUGGCGCCUGAGGAUGAGUCUGCGGCCUAUCAGGUAGUAGGUGGGGUAAAGGCCCACAUAGCCUAUGACGGGUACGGGCCCUGAGAGGGGUAGCCCGGAGAUGGGUUCUGAGACACGAACCCAGGCCCUACGGGGCGCAGCAGGCGCGAAACCUUCGCAAUGCGCGCAAGCGCGACGAGGGGAACUCGAGUGCUAUUAUCCUUUUGGGUGAUAGCUUUUCUCGAUCCUAAAAAGAUCGGGGAACAAAAGCUGGGUAAGACGGGUGCCAGCCGCCGCGGUAAUACCCGCAGCUCAAGUGGUGGCCACUAUUAUUGAGCCUAAAGCGUCCGUAGCCGGUCUUGUAAAUCUCUGGGUAAAUCCCAUCGCUCAACGGUGGGAAGACUGGAGAGACUGCAAGACUAGGGAUCGGGUGAGGUAAGAGGUACUCCUGGGGUAGGGGUAAAAUCCUGUAAUCCUGGGGGGACGACCGGUGGCGAAGGCGUCUUACUAGAACGACUCCGACGGUGAGGGACGAAGGCUAGGGGAGCAAACCGGAUUAGAUACCCGGGUAGUCCUAGCUGUAAACGCUGCCCACUUGGUGUUGCCCUUUCGUAGGGAAGGGGCAGUGCCGGAGCGAAGGUGUUAAGUGGGCCGCUUGGGGAGUAUGGUCGCAAGGCUGAAACUUAAAGGAAUUGGCGGGGGAGCACAAUCGAAUU
rnacentral:rRNA from 1 species